rnacentral:rRNA from 1 species
CCUACGGGUGGCAGCAGUGAGGAAUAUUGGUCAAUGGGCGCGAGCCUGAACCAGCCAAGUCGCGUGAGGGAGGACGGCCCUACGGGUUGUAAACCUCUUUUGCCGGGGAGCAACGGGCGUCACGUGUGGCGCCACUGAGAGUCACCUGCGAAAAAGCAUCGGCUAACUCCCUGCCAGCAGCCGCGGUAACACGGAGGAUGCGAGCGUUAUCCGGAUUUAUUGGGUUUAAAGGGUGCGUUGGAGGUGCGUUAAGUCAGUGGUCAAAUUGAGGGUUUCACCCCCUUCCCGCCAUUGAAACUGGCGUUCUUGAGUGGAAGAGAAGUAUGCGGAAUGCGUGGUGUAGCGGUGAAAUGCAUAGAUAUCACGCAGAACCCCGAUGGCGAAGGCAGCAUGCCGGCUUCCGACUGACGCUGAAGCACGAAAGCGUGGGGAUCGAACAGGAUUAGAUACCCCUGUAGUC